rnacentral:rRNA from 1 species
UACGAAGGGGGCUAGCGUUGCUCGGAAUUACUGGGCGUAAAGGGCGCGUAGGCGGAUACUUAAGUCGGGGGUGAAAGCCCAGGGCUCAACCCUGGAAUAGCCUUCGAUACUGGGUAUCUUGAGUUCGGGAGAGGUGAGUGGAACUCCGAGUGUAGAGGUGAAAUUCGUAGAUAUUCGGAAGAACACCAGUGGCGAAGGGGACUCACUGGCCCGAUACUGACGCUGAGGCGCGAAAGCGUGGGGAGCAAACAGG